rnacentral:rRNA from 1 species
GACGAACGCUGGCGGCGUGCUUAACACAUGCAAGUCGAACGGAAAGGCCCUGCUUUUGUGGGGUGCUCGAGUGGCGAACGGGUGAGUAACACGUGAGUAACCUGCCCUUGACUUUGGGAUAACUUCAGGAAACUGGGGCUAAUACCGGAUAGGAGCUCCUGCUGCAUGGUGGGGGUUGGAGAGUUUCGGCGGUUGGGGAUGGACUCGCGGCUUAUCAGCUUGUUGGUGGGGUAGUGGCUUACCAAGGCUUUGACGGGUAGCCGGCCUGAGAGGGUGACCGGCCACAUUGGGACUGAGAUACGGCCCAGACUCCUACGGGAGGCAGCAGUGGGGAAUAUUGCACAAUGGGCGGAAGCCUGAUGCAGCAACGCCGCGUGCGGGAUGACGGCCUUCGGGUUGUAAACCGCUUUCGCCUGUGACGAAGCGUGAGUGACGGUAAUGGGUAAAGAAGCACCGGCUAACUACGUG